rnacentral:rRNA from 2 species
AAACUAACAAGGAUUCCCCUAGUAACGGCGAGUGAACCGGGAAGAGCUCAAAUUUGUAAUCUGGCCUUUGGUCCGAGUUGUAAUCUAUAGAGGCGUUUUCCGCGCUGGAUCGUGUCCAAGUCUCUUGGAACAGAGUAUCAAAGAGGGUGAUAAUCCCGUACUUAACACGACCACCAGUGCUAUGUGAUACGUCUUCUACGAGUCGAGUUGUUUGGGAAUGCAGCUCAAAAUGGGUGGUAAAUUCCAUCUAAAGCUAAAUAUUGGCGAGAGACCGAUAGCGAACAAGUACCGUGAGGGAAAGAUGAAAAGCACUUUGGAAAGAGAGUUAAACAGUACGUGAAAUUGUUGAAAGGGAAACGAUUGAAGUCAGUCGUGUUCAUUGGACUCAGCCGGUUCUGCCGGUCUACUUCCUUUGAACGGGUCAACAUCAGUUUCGUCUGGUGGAUAAGGGCAGGAGGAAUGUGGCACCCUCGGGUGUGUUAUAGCCUCUUGUCGCAUACACUGGGUGAGACUGAGGAAUGCAGCUUGCCUUUUGGCCGGGGUUCGCCCACGUACAAGCUUAGGAUGUUGACAUAAUGGCUUUAAACGAC